ensembl:lncRNA
AUGCACUUUCUUCAUCAUUUUUAUCCGAAUCUCAUGAACUCCCUGCUGUUGUUUAAUUUUCCGAUUUUUCCGGGCAAAGCUAUCAUUUGACUUCAGAGCACCUAUAGGAAAAUACAGGGUUUUUCAUGUGGACCAGUUUUAUGAUCCUUCUCUUUAGUGCUUCUGCAUCGUCUUUGAAGUUUGGGAGCCUCAGUUCCAGUGGAGACUAAUUGCAUGGAGAAGAGCAGUAAAGUGCUUUGAAAAAAUUCAUACAGGUUUGGAGUGUUAUGCGGGUGAGUAAAUGAUGAUACCGUAAACUAUUCUUUUUAAAUCCGCCUCGGAUCUCAUUGUGAAUGAAUUUCACCCUGUGAUUUCAUCAGGGAUGCAGGCCUGCUGCAGUUCUCUCCCUUUUCACUCUCACUGAAGCCCCAGACAGAAGCUCCCUGGAGACCUUCCCUUCUUGUUUAAACCUGACACAAAUUCCACGUCACAGUACCCAGAGUGACGACGCUUGCAGGCACAAAAGCAAAUAUUUCCUUUCCUGGUUGUACCCAACCACCUCUACACGUCCCCACCGACACCUGACCCCUCCCUUUCCUCACCAGUUCCAGCACUGCAGGCCGGCCAUUUGUCACAAAUCUUUGUUGGUGCAGUUGAAACAAAUGGAGAAAGUCAUGUAAUGUUUUGGGGGGCAAUGAGCUGAAUCAGCCUCUGUUAGACGGCCUGGCCGGAGGAUGGAUGGAAGAGGACUUCUGGAUGCUGGUGGGCUGGGUUCAACUCCGAACUGAGAGGAUUUGAAGCCGUGUUUUGUUCCAGUAAGGUCCGAUCCCAGUAGAAAGAAAGUCACAGAUUUGGGACAACAUGAGGCCACCAACGGAGGGCGAUGUUUCCCAUGAAAUGAAUCGUUCCUCUUCAUCUAUGAAGCUAAAUGGAAAGAAUGUCAACAAGGUUGUUUCCCCUGCUCAUAAACUGCUUCCAGAUUACCAUACUUUCACAAUAUGCACUCAAAUCGUUGAUGAAGUCCUUAUUUCUUGACGGAUGAUGACGUAUGCUCUGUAUUUAUUGAGAAGGUCAGAUGCUCAUAGAAGAGCAGCUCGUGCACGGGUGGAGCAGAAGGAGAGAAGGAAUGGAGUUAAAUUAAGGAUAUCAUUGGACUGACAGUGAUCUGGGCAGCUCUCGAUAAGAUCCUCGGCUCUGCGGAGCGCCAGACGACGUGAGAAGGUCUGGCGGCGGGAUGGGGAGGGGGAAGGGGAAGGGGGCAGUUAAAAGUUUUCCGAGCCGUCUUCCCCCUUCAAUUUGCAUGCUUAAUGAUGCUGAGCAGGAGUUAAUAGUGGGUGUAAUGGCUUCUGACUGACCGGGCUCUGGAGUGGACCACAGGCUGGGCCACCGGAGCAGGGGUGGGGAGGGGUUAACGCACACCAUACGGCUCUGCACUCGCUCG